rnacentral:rRNA from 1 species
AUGAUGCAUCACGCCGCGGGUCUCGACCUGGGCCUCGGCCUCGGGCUCGGGCUCGCCUCCCAGGGCAGCCUCACGUCCUCCACCACCACCGCAUCCUCCUCCCCGGCCUCGCAGGCGCACGCGCAGCACUGGACCGCCGCUUUCAGCUCCGUCGUCGGCGCGCAGGAGUACGAGCGGCAGCAGCUGCUGCAUAGGAAGGAGGAGCCGGGGAUGAGGCCGUCCACGUCGCCCGAGAGCGGCGUCAGCGCCGGGACCAAGAGGGGCCUGGAGCCCACCGGCUCCGGCGUCUCCCCCGCCACGGGCAGCGACGAGGACGACGACGGCGCCGGCGGCCGCAAGAAGCUCAGGCUCUCCAAGGACCAGGCCGCCGUCCUCGAGGAGUGCUUCAAGAUGCACAGCACGCUCAACCCCAAGCAGAAGACGGCGCUGGCGAACCGGCUGGGGCUGCGGCCGCGGCAGGUGGAGGUGUGGUUCCAGAACCGCCGCGCGCGCACCAAACUCAAGCAGACGGAGGUGGACUGCGAGUACAUGAAGCGCUGGUGCGAGCAGCUCGCCGAGCAGAACCGCCGCCUCGAGAAGGAGGUGACCGAGCUCAGGGCGCUCAAGGCCGCACCGCCGGCGCAUAACGGCGCCGCGGCGGGGCCCCUCACCACCCUCACCAGGUGCCUCUCCUGCAAGCGCGUCGCAUCCACGUCCUCCGCCUCGGCCUGCAACGUGCCCAGCUUUUCCGCCAAUGCCGGCAUCGGCAUGCCAAUGCCAUCCCUCGAAGAACGGCCGUUCUUGUGUGGGUUCAGAGACACCGGAGUGACGUACGGCGGCUCUUCGGGGCUCGCGAAGGUGGUCAAGCCGGCCAGAUAG